UGACUGAGGCUUUAGUUUUUGUUGAGCUGAUUUACACGUAGAAACUUUGUUCAGGAAGAUUUCUCAGUAGCUCAGAGGACAGGCUGCUUUUUACACAACCUUGUAAGAGAAUGUCUGUCAAUGCUUUCAGCAGAAUUUAGAAACACAACACUUCCUAAACAGAUAUUUUGAGGCUGUGAGGUUGAACGUUUGAGAGUCUAUCAGUGUGUUUGUUUGUGGUCUUUCUGUUUCUAGGUGGAAGCUGAAUUAGUGAGGAUGACUCCUGCUCCUGUCAUCUCUAAGCUCCUCACACAUCUUUACCUGCACAUGAGGAAAAUCACUCCUGUAGAAUGCAGAUGUUCAGAGGGAGAUGAUGCCACAUCUGGUCCAGCUGAUGGAAGGUCUUGAAGUUCUCUGACUGGCCUCGACUGAAGAUGGUCGUCUCACUGGAUUUAAGGUUCAGAUGCUCAGUAACAAACUCCACCAAUGAGCCAACAGGGAAGCUUUAGGUUUAUUAAAUGUUGCUAUGAAGGUAUCGCUGUUUUUCUUUGUGAAUGCAAUGUGCUCCAACUGAAACUUGAAUUAGAACUUAAAAGUAAAUCCUUCCAUCUGAAAGGAUUUAGUUGCAUUAAUAACCUCAUAACAUUGUAAUUUUUAUUCCAGUCUUGGUUGGAAAUAGAAUCUCUGUAUUGAUUCAGGUAAAAACUGAACUUUACAGCAUGUUGGAGCAAAACAACCAGAUGAAAACUGUGAUGGUGUUGGAUUGUCAGACCGUAAUGUUGCAGCUCAAAGCAGCUUUUCUAGCUCAGUUCAUUCUGACAUUCAGCUAUGAAUCAACACAGCAGAUGGUGAUCCAUGCUGUGGAAGUCUCACAUCUCCUGAUUUAAUGGAGCUGCUUUGCACUUUUUACACUGUUUAUUCACCAACACUUUAUUUAAUAAAAGUCCCAUCUAGUUUUCAUGAGGAAUGUGAUGUUUUAAUUUCUCUGUGAAUAACUGCAGUCUAAUGCAACAGCUGGAGUUGUAACAUCUGUCCUGAUAUUGAUCAUGAAGUAUUGAUCAGAAUACUUAUGGUCAGCAGUCAUCCCUGAAGUUUUACAUUAAAAUCUUUACUUGUGUUGUGAACUUUGGUAAGAAGCAGAAACGUUAGCGUUGCCAUGGAUACAAGAGUGUUAAAUUCUGUCCAUGUUUCCAUUUUGGGAAAUUCAGUCCAGCAGAUGAGUUUGUUUUUACUACCAGCUACCAUUCAGUCUGAGAUAUUAAGAAUAAAUAAAUGUGCAUAAUGUGGAAAUGAACAAAUUUAUUUAUUUAUUUAUUUAUUCCUACAGCUGCUGGAAAGUUCCAGAAUAUGGAGGAAUUUAGUGUCACAAUCAGACAAUAAAUAUUAUCUGAAAGUUGGGUUAUUGUUGUUUAUCAGCACAAUACAAAAAGAUUAAUGUUAGAAAUAUUCCAGUUAAGACUCUAGAAUAUAAUGAUUUAUGUAAAUUUACCUCAAUAAUAUGAAUGUUUAGGUUAAGAUUGUACAGUGAUAUUUAUUAUGUAAGUUUAGCUGAUUAAAGUUUAUGACUCUGCACUAAAAUAUUAUUUAAAUUGACAUCAUUAUUAUAAUAUUUAGGGUCAGACCCUACAGUAUUGAGAUUAAGAAAUCAAAUAUUCUAUAAAAUGUAAAUACACUGAACUCAUUUGGAUAUAUUUAAGUGAGACUCUACAAUAUUAUUUGACACAAAUCUAUCUAAAUCAAAAUUUUAAUCAUUUUUACUCCAAACAUUUACUGGACUGAUUUAAAUAUUAAAAUCACUCCUUUCUAAUCCUCUGCUGUACGUUCAAACCUGAGGCCUUAAACAGAAACACACAAGUAUCUGAUUGAAGGAACUUCUGCAGAGUCCUGGUUCCAGAACAUGAUGAUAGAAUUAUAAACAAACUUUAACAAAAGCUGCCUGAGAGUUUACAGGUUUUUAUGUUAGAUUUCUUCAGUAAUUUAAUGAGAGUUAUCAGCAAAAAUCAAGUGUUCAUUUGAUGAACUUCAUUUCCUAAAACAUCCAGAAUUGGAGCUCAUAUCUUUGGCAGCUGUAAAGUUUCUGCUCCUUCAAAGUUCACAACACAGUGAAUUAAUUCCUAAAACACUUAACAAUGCUGGAGAGCGUUUGUGAUGCUGAAGCAGUGACCAGUUUUUCUGUUUCUUCUCUGGAGAUGCACAAUGAGGGACGUCUGCAGCGACUGAGAAAGAGUCUCACCACAUCCUGACAUGAGGAAAAAGACUUUAUUGAAGACUACAAUGAGAAAAACUAUCAGACAGCAGACGGCUGCAUUCAAGGCUACAGGAGGAGCCCUACGAGGACGAGCUGGUCCACCUGAUGGAGGCCAGUCGCUGCGGUUCAAAGCCAACACCGACUACGUGGACUUCUACUGGACCACAUGGAGGCCUUCAAACCGGACCAACAAGUUCAGCCGACUCCCCGACUCGUGGGUCUGAGGACGCCGCCGAGCCUCGGCCCAGCCGGCCUCCUGUCUGUGGGUGUUUGAGUGCUGAGAGGUUUGUGGAUGCAUGUGAACGUUCUGUGUUGAAACAGCAGCUUUUGACUCAGUAACGCCAGGAAAAACCAAGAGCUCCUUUAUUUGUGACUUCCACUAAAAAACUGAUGAAAAUAAG